rnacentral:rRNA from 1 species
GCUUAGAGUUUGAUCCUGGCUCAGGAUGAACGCUGGCGGUAUGCUUAACACAUGCAAGUCGAACGGAGUACUUCGGUACUUAGUGGCGGACGGGUGAGUAACGCGUGAGAAUCUGCCUUCAGGAUGGGGAUAACAGUGGGAAACCAUUGCUAAUACCCAAUGAGCCGAGAGGUAAAAAAUUUAUUGCCUGAAGAGGAGCUCGCGUCCGAUUAGUUAGUUGGUGGGGUAAAGGCUUACCAAGACGGCGAUCGGUAGCUGGUCUGAGAGGAUGAGCAGCCACACUGGGACUGAGACACGGCCCAGACUCCUACGGGAGGCAGCAGUGGGGAAUUUUCCGCAAUGGGCGCAAGCCUGACGGAGCAAUACCGCGUGAGGGAGGAAGGCCUUUGGGUUGUAAACCUCUUUUCUUAAGGAAGAAGAUCUGACGGUACUUAAGGAAUCAGCAUCGGCUAACUCCGUGCCAGCAGCCGCGGUAAUACGGAGGAUGCAAGCGUUAUCCGGAAUUAUUGGGCGUAAAGCGUCCGCAGGCGGCACUAUAAGUCUGCUGUCAAAGACCGCAGCUCAACUGCGGAAAGGCAGUGGAAACUGUAGAGCUAGAGUACGGUAGGGGUAGAGGGAAUUCCCAGUGUAGCGGUGAAAUGCGUAGAGAUUGGGAAGAACACCAGUGGCGAAAGCGCUCUACUGGGCCGUAACUGACGCUCAGGGACGAAAGCUAGGGGAGCGAAAGGGAUUAGAUACCCCUGUAGUCCUAGCUGUAAACGAUGGAUACUAGGCGUAGCUUGUAUCGACCCGAGCUGUGCCGAAAGCUACGCGUUAAGUAUCCCGCCUGGGGAGUACGCACGCAAGUGUGAAACUCAAAGGAAUUGACGGGGG